rnacentral:lncRNA from 1 species
GAAGAGGGAUUUUAUAUAACCUUUAUAUUAGCAAAUAAAAAAACAUAUUUAAGUAGAUCUUAUUAUAUUCAACUACUAAUCAAUUAAUUUAUUUGGAAAUUAGGAUGUGACUAAUAGGUGCAUAUUAUCUUUUCUUGGAGGUAAAGAUAAGUUGAAGAAGCUUCAUGAUUUUAAUAAAUACAAACUGUAAAUAAAACACAUUCUACAAACUUUUAUUAAAAUAUGAAAUACAAACGCCGAUACAGAAAAAGAAAACACCGAAUAAUAUAAUUAGUUGCUUCAAGUCUAUGAUCGAAUAAAUUAGGGCUUCCGCCUCAACCAUGGCGGCUUCUGCCAUGUCCGCUUAUUCUUGACCAACUUGACGAGGCCCGACUCUUCUGCAACGUCGUUUUAAGCCUAUCAUGCUGCACCUCCUUGCUCUUUCCUUCUGCAUAUAUAGAUCAACCAAUAAACAAUUAAUAAAGAUAGGAAAAAAGAAGGGCUUGGAGAUAUAUAUGAUGCAGCUAGAAAAAUGAUGAAACUGACCCAGAGUUGUGGCCUCUGGAUAUAAUCUGGCUGCUGUUUCCAUCGCCGCCGUGGCGCCAUCUCUCGUCGACGAUAAAAGGAUUAGUACUAUCAGCAAAGGAAUGAUGCAAUUUCCCAGAUAACUACUUCUACAGCUUUGUUUCGCCAUUAGAUUUUCUGCUUAAUUAUUAUGGUCUGCUAUGAUAUGUAUAGUACGUACCAGCAUUAAUAUACACUAGUUGUAAGUAGGAAAAACAAUUAGGUUAAUUAAUUUCAUAAUAUAUCCAUAGGGCCG